rnacentral:lncRNA from 1 species
UGAGGAACCUCAGCACAUCUAAAGUUGUUGGCAUUCUCAACAGAUGCUUGGGCCUGUCCUCUUUAAGAGAAGAGAAGGGCCUCUCUGUUGUGUUCUCUCGAGGACCCCUGGAGCAUGAGUGCAGGGCUUCCUGUUAUUGGGUUGGCCAAAAAGUUCAUUCGGGUUUUUCCCAUUUCAUGAUGUCUUGCCAGAGCCUAGAACAGUGCCUAGCACACGGUGGAUGCCCAGUGAAUGUUUGUUGAAUGACUGAAUGAGGUGCCUAUGGGACAUUUAGGAGACCAAUUCAGGGAGCAGCAGAAUAUUCAAGUCUAGAUUCACCUUGGAUUCAAUUUGGGAGUGAGUUUGGGGUAGUUAUCACAGAUACUUGUCUUUGAUGCCCAGAGAGGGGCCCAGGCGGGUCACAACAGGAGUAAGGCAGGUAGGAUGUCAUUUUCUUUCAACAUAGUUAUCCCUGGCUUAUUUUUUUAAAGAAUUUCUUGUUGCCUUUUUAAAAAUAUUUAUUUAAUUUAUUUUUUUUGGCUGUGUCGGGUCUUUAGUUGAGGCAUGCGGGGUCUUCAUUGAGGCACGCGGGAUCUUUCAUUGCGGCAUGGGCUCUUCGUUGUGGCGCACGGGCUUCUCUCCAGUUGUGGCGUGCAGGUUUUCUCUCUCUAGUUGUGGCAUGCGGGCUCCAGGGCGCGUGGGCUCUGUAGUUUGCGGCACACGGGCUCUCUCGUUGAGGCACAUGAGCUCAGUAGUUGUGGCACUCAGACUUAGUUGCCCCGUGGCAUGGGGGAUUUUAGUUCCCUGACCGGGGAUCAAACCCAUGUCCCCUGCAUUAGAAGGCGGAUUCUUUACCCCUGGACCACCAGGGAAGUCCCUAGACAUCCUUGGCAUAUUAAAUGCAGAGUAUCUUUCACUUCCACAAAGAAAUAUACUCCCUCCCACUUCUCUUGAACCAUGAAGCUCUCUCAGUCCAUCCUUGGUUUCCAUGGAGAGGGGUGGAUGGUGAGUGCUGCUGGAAGCCGUCUGUGGGGGUACUUCUGGGGGCAGCCGUGUGGGAAUGCUGAGCUGUAGCCAGAUCUGCCAGUUUACCAACAGCGUCCAGAGAUUCAGACUUCUAUGUGAAAUUUGGUUUUUCAAUGUUGGCAACUAAGUUAGAUUUUUUAAAAAUCCUAU